CCUACGGGGGGCAGCAGUGAGGAAUAUUGGUCAAUGGACGAAAGUCUGAACCAGCCAUGCCGCGUGCAGGAUGACGGCUCUAUGAGUUGUAAACUUCUUUUAUAAAGGAAUAAAACGAGGCACGUGUGCCUCUUUGCAUGUACUUUAUGAAUAAGGAUCGGCUAACUCCGUGCCAGCAGCCGCGGUAAUACGGAGGAUCCGAGCGUUAUCCGGAUUUAUUGGGUUUAAAGGGAGCGUAGAUGGGUUGUUAAGUCAGUUGUGAAAGUUUGCGGCUCAACCGUAAAAUUGCAGUUGAUACUGGCAGUCUUGAGUGCAGUUGAGGUAGGCGGAAUUCGUGGUGUAGCGGUGAAAUGCUUAGAUAUCACGAAGAACCCCGAUUGCGAAGGCAGCUUACUAAACUGUGACUGACAUUGAUGCUCGAAAGUGUGGGUAUCAAACAGGAUUAGAUACCCGAGUAGUC
rnacentral:rRNA from 1 species